rnacentral:lncRNA from 1 species
AAGGUUUUAAAUUGCGGUCCGCAUCCGCAAUUGCGGCCGCAAUAUUGCUGAUGCGGUAGCCACCGCAACCGCAUCACACCGCAAUUGCGGUGUGAUCUUAAUUCACGUGUACGGCCGCAUCGUAACCGCAUCACAACCGCAUCGGAAGCCGCAUCAGAUGUUUUCGGCUAUGUUCGUUCAAAUUUUAUCCCCAAAAAAUAAAAUUUAUGAACUUCAAAUCCUAAUUUGUGUCAAAUUAAUGAAAAAUCUUACUUUUAACAAUCUAUCAACCAUGUAUUUUCAAUACAUUCAAAUUAUUGUUUAUGGAAUAAACUAAGACUAUGUAAUGGUGGAUAAAUAGUGUAGUUACAUGCUAGUUUAAUUUUAUAUAGCUUGUGAAAUUUCAAAAUGAUUUCACGCCGCAACAACCGCAUUGCCGUUGCAGCAACCGCAAUUAUCGCAUUCGCAACAACUGCAACCGCAACCGCAUCCACGACCGCAACCGCAAUUUAAAACCUUG